rnacentral:rRNA from 1 species
GACGAACGCUGGCGGCGUGCUUAACACAUGCAAGUCGAACGGUAAGGCCCUUCGGGGUACACGAGUGGCGAACGGGUGAGUAACACGUGGGUGAUCUGCCCUGCACUUCGGGAUAAGCCUGGGAAACUGGGUCUAAUACCGGAUAGGACCCUGGGAUGCAUGUCCUAGGGUGGAAAGCGUUUGCGGUGUGGGAUGGGCCCGCGGCCUAUCAGCUUGUUGGUGGGGUGAUGGCCUACCAAGGCGACGACGGGUAGCCGGCCUGAGAGGGGGACCGGCCACACUGGGACUGAGAUACGGCCCAGACUCCUACGGGAGGCAGCAGUGGGGAAUAUUGCACAAUGGGCGCAAGCCUGAUGCAGCGACGCCGCGUGAGAGAUGACGGCCUUCGGGUUGUAAACCUCUUUCAGCACCGACGAAGCGCAAGUGACGGUAGGUGCAGAAGAAGGACCGGCCAACUACGUGCCAGCAGCCGCCGUAA